UACGAAGGGGGCUAGCGUUGCUCGGAAUCACUGGGCGUAAAGGGUGCGUAGGCGGGUCUUUAAGUCAGGGGUGAAAUCCUGGAGCUCAACUCCAGAACUGCCUUUGAUACUGAAGAUCUUGAGUUCGGGAGAGGUGAGUGGAACUGCGAGUGUAGAGGUGAAAUUCGUAGAUAUUAGGAAGAACACCAGUGGCGAAGGCGGCUCACUGGUCCGGUACUGACGCUGAGGUGCGAAAGCGUGGGGAGCAAACAGG
rnacentral:rRNA from 1 species